rnacentral:rRNA from 1 species
UAACGUCCGUCGUGAAGAGGGAAACAACCCAGACCGCCAGCUAAGGUCCCAAAGUCAUGGUUAAGUGGGAAACGAUGUGGGAAGGCCCAGACAGCCAGGAUGUUGGCUUAGAAGCAGCCAUCAUUUAAAGAAAGCGUAAUAGCUCACUGGUCGAGUCGGCCUGCGCGGAAGAUGUAACGGGGCUAAACCAUGCACCGAAGCUGCGGCAGCGACGCUUAUGCGUUGUUGGGUAGGGGAGCGUUCUGUAAGCCUGUGAAGGUGUGCUGUGAGGCAUGCUGGAGGUAUCAGAAGUGCGAAUGCUGACAUAAGUAACGAUAAAGCGGGUGAAAAGCCCGCUCGCCGGAAGACCAAGGGUUCCUGUCCAACGUUAAUCGGGGCAGGGUGAGUCGACCCCUAAGGCGAGGCCGAAAGGCGUAGUCGAUGGGAAACAGGUUAAUAUUCCUGUACUUGGUGUUACUGCGAAGGGGGGACGGAGAAGGCUAUGUUGGCCGGGCGACGGUUGUCCCGGUUUAAGCGUGUAGGCUGGUUUUCCAGGCAAAUCCGGAAAAUCAAGGCUGAGGCGUGAUGA